GACGUAGGGCGCGAGCGUUGUCCGGAUUUAUUGGGCGUAAAGAGCUCGUAGGCGGUGUGUCACGUCGGCCGUGAAAACCUGCAGCUUAACUGUGGGCGUGCGGUCGAUACGGGCAUCACUGGAGUUCGGCAGGGGAGACUGGAAUUCCUGGUGUAGCGGUGAAAUGCACAGAUAUCAGGAGGAACACCGGUGGCGAAGGCGGGUCUCUGGGCCGAUACUGACGCCGAGGAGCGAAAGCGUGGGGAGCAAACAGG
rnacentral:rRNA from 1 species